rnacentral:rRNA from 1 species
CAUAUCCAUAACACCUGUGCACUUGUCGGAUGGCUUAGUGAAGACCGCAAGGUUGAAUCUAUCCAUCUACUUUACAUAACAAUUCUGUAACAAAUGUAGUCUUAUUAUAACAUAAUAAAACUUUCAACAACGGAUCUCUUGGCUCUCGCAUCGAUGAAGAACGCAGCGAAAUGCGAUAAGUAAUGUGAAUUGCAGAAUUCAGUGAAUCAUCGAAUCUUUGAACGCACCUUGCGCUCCUUGGUAUUCCGAGGAGCAUGCCUGUUUGAGUGUCAUGAAAACCCUCAACCCUAGAUUGGUUAAAACCUUUCUUUGGUUUGGAUUUGGACGUUUGCCGAUGAUAAGUCGGCUCGUCUUAAAAGUAAUAGCUGGAUCUGUCUCGCGACAUGGUUUGACUUGGCGUAAUAAGUAUUUCGCUAAGGACAUCUUCGGAUGGCCGCGUUGCAGGACUAAAGACCGCUUUCUAAUCCAUUGAUCUUCGGAUUAAUACUCUUGACAUCUGGCCUCAAAUCAGGUAGGACUACCCGCUGAACUUAAGCAUAUCAA